CAGGGCCGUGACGCUCAGUGCUGCAUAGCUGGUUUUCAGUCCCGGGCUGCUGUUGGAGCUGUCGUCAUUGCAGAGCAUUUCUGCAGCCAACCAUUGGAGACAUCGGAGGGACAGCAAAAACUCAGAAUGGGCAUACUCCAUCCCAGCCCCAAAGGGACACGUUGGCAACCUAGGUGAAGGCUGUUGGCUCAGAUCGUUGUCUGGACUUGUGCUGCCUUGCACCAUGUGGUUGUCCUUCACACCUUUGCCUUAUGAAGGAACAUGUCCGUCCCCUCUGUCCCAGCCAGUGCUGGGGUAGCGUGUGAGCAAGGAAAGGUGACAAGCGAACACCCCUAGGGCUGAACGGCUGCCACACUCUGCACUGCUCUCUGCUAGGCGCCAGAGCUCUUCCCAUCAGGAAUGCAUAUCCCCUUUCCUCACUCACCCACCCCUCAGGACUUUCUGCUCCAUUGGCCUUCCUAAAUACAUAAAAGCACCAUUUCCCCUACUUUGGGAAUACCGGGUCUUUCUACAUUGCAGUCUUUCCCCUCACCUCCCAGGAAUUUCCUGGGAAUCCCUACAGCGUCUGGAAUGUGGCGGUCUUACCCAACUCCAUGUAUGCCAGGCCAAGCAGCAAACCAAACAGAAGGGUCUUCAUGCUGAGAGCAGAUCCGUGCACCCUGGACAAUACAGGAGAGCUGUGCCUGGGUAGCUUUAUAUGCCCUUCAUCCUCCACCUUCUUUUGAUCCUGUGGGCGGAUUCCCUUGGGUUGAUCACGGGAGAGCCCAGCUCCAGGCUGGAUUGGGAACUGCAGUGAAACAAGUUCCCUGUCUGUGGAGGAGAUGACGUCACUGUGACAAGCAGACUCCUGCCAUACCUCAUCUCUCCUCUUCAGGUUUAUGUCCUGGGGCUGCUUUCAUGCAAAACGCAAAACAAUGCCUUGCAAUACAAGGGACGGCCCUGUGCCGCUUCUUGGAUGGGGAGUGUGACAAGGUAUGUUUGUUCCUUCAAGUCUGGCUUUGCGAGCCGAAAACUAGAUUACAUCAUGUGUGUGUUGUGUUGGGUAACGCCAGGCAAAAUGCAUGUGGCAGCAGGCUGGGCUUCCACCUGCAUUGGCUCAGCGUCAUCAAGGCCUGUGCCAUGCCUUCAUGUUCACUGCUCCCUGGGCUGGCAGGUGGAAAGCUGGCUGCAGCUGGAUCUGCGCAAAGCAUGUCUAUAUUCCUACCUCCAGUGCAGAUAUAACUAGACUGGGACCCAUUUGCCUUAAUAAAUUUAAGAAAGCUUCA